AGAGUUUGAUCCUGGCUCAGGGUGAACGCUGGCGGCGUGCUUGACACAUGCAAGUCGAACGGUAUGUGGCAACACAUAGAGUGGCGAACGGGUGAGUAACACGUGGGAACGUAUCUUUUGCAGGGGGAUAACUGACCGAAAGGACAGCUAAUACCGCAUAAGUCCGAGAGGAGAAAGGUGCAACAGCAUCGGCAGAAGAGCGGCCCGCGGUCCAUCAGCUAGUUGGUGAGGUAAGGGCUUACCAAGGCGACGACGGAUAGCCGGCGUGAGAGCGUGGCCGGCCACAAGGACACUGAGAUACGGGUCCUACUCCUACGGGAGGCAGCAGUGCGGAAUUUUAGAUAAUGGAGGGAACUCUGAUCUAGCGACGCCGCGUGCAGGAAGAAGGUCUUCGGAUUGUAAACUGCUGUGGUAAGGGAAAAAUGCUAUGUAGAGUGGAAAGCUACAUGGAGGGAUGGUACUUUACUAGAAAGCCCCGGCUAACUACGUGCCAGCAGCCGCGGUAAUACGUAGGGGGCGAGCGUUACCCGGAAUCACUGGGCGUAAAGGGAGCGUAGGUGGCCUGACAUGUCAACUGUGAAAACCCGGAGCUCAACUCCGGACUUGCAGUUGAAACUGCCAGGCUUGAGGACGGUAGAGGAAGACGGAACUGCCAGUGUAGGGGUAAAAUCCUUAGAUAUUGGCAGGAACGCCGGUGACGAAGGUGGUUUUCUGGGCCGGUUCCGACACUGAUGCUCGAAAGCCAGGGGAGCGAACGGGAUUAGAUACCCCGGUAGUCCUGGCCCUAAACGAUGUUCACUAGGUGUGGGGAGCGGAAAGCUUUCCGUGCUAAAGCUAACGCAAUAAGUGAACCGCCUGGGGAGUACGCCCGCAAGGGUGAAACUCAAAGGAAAUUGACG
rnacentral:rRNA from 1 species